UGGAGGAGGGGACCUUCUCUAAGGCCCUGCAGCCUCAACAAUUGUGCAGUCUAAGGAUCACGUGAGAGUUAAGUUUUGGAAGAGACCUGUGUUUGAAAGCUGGGACUUUGACGGUUGCCGGUGUCGGUUUCCGUGGAAACAGGAAUCGGAAUCAGAGAAUGAGCCUGUGAGCUGUGCUCUGGGUGCCCCAGAUAGUGAGGGUGAGAGGGCCACCGGCUGGCAUUCUCCAGCGGUCUCUGGAGUCCUCAGCCCCACUGUGGUCUGAUGGGGAGGGAGGGGCUGGAGCCCCUGCCAGAGGCAGAGCCUGAAAGGAGGUUUUGAACAUGGGCCCCCCAGGGUCAUACUCAACCUUUAUAGAGCACUCACUGGGAUAUGGAAGCCAGGUCCAGGGCAUCAGAGGUGAACAGGAAGCAAUCUGUGGCUUCCCUCAGCAUCCACAGGUGGCCAGGCAGAGCCAGGAGGCUGCUCAAUUCAAACAUAGAAGCUGCAAGAACAAUCCCUGGAAAGCAAUGAACUGUGGAAGGAGGCAGAAGCCAGACCGUGAAGGACCUUGAACUUCUAUGCUGAGGAGCUUGGACGUCAUCCCGAGUGAAAUGGGGAGCCACCACUAAAGAGUUUCAAGCAAUAAUGUGCCCAGGUGAAAUCUGUGCCUGAAACACGUCCUUCUGUCUGGCAAGGGAGGG